rnacentral:lncRNA from 1 species
UAAAACAAAAUAUUUUAUCUCUUUAAUAGUUUAAUAUAGGGUUAAUUCCAUAUCGGUCCUUACAAGCAUAGUAAAUUACAAAUAUAUUCUUACAAAGUUCAAAUUCCCUUCAAAAGUUCUAAUAUUUUCAAAUAUAUCCCUCUAAUUUAUUUCCAUUAAAAUACUAUUUAUUUUAUAAGUGAAAUGAUAUAUUUGCCCUCACAAAUAUAUCCCUAAAAAAUUCUAACCGUUAAUUGAAGAGGAGUAAAAAAGUCGAUUCAUCUCAUUAACUAACUAGGGUUAAAUAUUUUAUGUAUACC